rnacentral:rRNA from 1 species
AGUGAACGCUGGCGGUAGGCCUAACACAUGCAAGUCGAACGGCAGCACAGUAAGAGCUUGCUCUUACGGGUGGCGAGUGGCGGACGGGUGAGGAAUACAUCGGAAUCUACUUUUUCGUGGGGGAUAACGUAGGGAAACUUACGCUAAUACCGCAUACGACCUACGGGUGAAAGCAGGGGAUCUUCGGACCUUGCGCGAUUGAAUGAGCCGAUGUCGGAUUAGCUAGUUGGCGGGGUAAAGGCCCACCAAGGCGACGAUCCGUAGCUGGUCUGAGAGGAUGAUCAGCCACACUGGAACUGAGACACGGUCCAGACUCCUACGGGAGGCAGCAGUGGGGAAUAUUGGACAAUGGGCGCAAGCCUGAUCCGGCCAUACCGCGUGGGUGAAGAAGGCCUUCGGGUUGUAAAGCCCUUUUGUUGGGAAAGAAAAGCAGCAGGUUAAUACCCCGCUGUUCUGACGGUACCCAAAGAAUAAGCACCGGCCAACUUCGUG